CACAUCCGCCACUAGGGGGCUUUAGCGACAUCCUCUCAUUCUAUUGAACUGUUGAUGAGAAGGAAGCAACCUAAAAUCACUACGGUGAUUCUUCUACCGUUACACAGGAGAACGCUGUUUCUAAACUCUUCCACAUUCAGCUGGAAAUGCUACUUGGUCUGGAGUUCUCCCGUAAGACGUUGCUGACUGAUGUUCUGGCGGUCUUUGGAUUAUUAAUUUUGGCUCUCAGCCUGCUGAAACUCACCUGGAAAUGUUGCCGUGGAUUCAGACAGUAUGUCUUGUCGUCGCUUUGUCAGGUGAACCUGCAGGCGUAUGGACAAUGGGCAGUUGUAACUGGUGCCACGUCUGGCAUUGGUAAAGCUUAUGCUAUUGAGUUGGCACGUCGGGGUC